AUGAACGCUAGCUACAGGCUUAACACAUGCAAGUCGAGGGGCAGCAUGGUCUUAGCUUGCUAAGGCCGAUGGCGACCGGCGCACGGGUGAGUAACACGUAUCCAACCUGCCGUCUACUCUUGGACAGCCUUCUGAAAGGAAGAUUAAUACAAGAUGGCAUCAUGAGUCCGCAUGUUCACAUGAUUAAAGGUAUUCCGGUAGACGAUGGGGAUGCGUUCCAUUAGAUAGUAGGCGGGGUAACGGCCCACCUAGUCUUCGAUGGAUAGGGGUUCUGAGAGGAAGGUCCCCCACAUUGGAACUGAGACACGGUCCAAACUCCUACGGGAGGCAGCAGUGAGGAAUAUUGGUCAAUGGGCGAGAGCCUGAACCAGCCAAGUAGCGUGAAGGAUGACUGCCCUAUGGGUUGUAAACUUCUUUUAUAAAGGAAUAAAGUCGGGUAUGGAUACCCGUUUGCAUGUACUUUAUGAAUAAGGAUCGGCUAACUCCGUGCCAGCAGCCGCGGUAAUACGGAGGAUCCGAGCGUUAUCCGGAUUUAUUGGGUUUAAAGGGAGCGUAGAUGGAUGUUUAAGUCAGUUGUGAAAGUUUGCGGCUCAACCGUAAAAUUGCAGUUGAUACUGGAUAUCUUGAGUGCAGUUGAGGCAGGCGGAAUUCGUGGUGUAGCGGUGAAAUGCUUAGAUAUCACGAAGAACUCCGAUUGCGAAGGCAGCCUGCUAAGCUGCAACUGACAUUGAGGCUCGAAAGUGUGGGUAUCAAACAGGAUUAGAUACCCUGGUAGUCCACACGGUAAACGAUGAAUACUCGCUGUUUGCGAUAUACAGCAAGCGGCCAAGCGAAAGCGUUAAGUAUUCCACCUGGGGAGUACGCCGGCAACGGUGAAACUCAAAGGAAUUGACGGGGGCCCGCACAAGCGGAGGAACAUGUGGUUUAAUUCGAUGAUACGCGAGGAACCUUACCCGGGCUUAAAUUGCAGAUGAAUUACGGUGAAAGCCGUAAGCCGCAAAGCAUCUGUGAAGGUGCUGCAUGGUUGUCGUCAGCUCGUGCCGUGAGGUGUCGGCUUAAGUGCCAUAACGAGCGCAACCCUUGUUGUCAGUUACUAACAGGUUCCGCUGAGGACUCUGACAAGACUGCCAUCGUAAGAUGUGAGGAAGGUGGGGAUGACGUCAAAUCAGCACGGCCCUUACGUCCGGGGCUACACACGUGUUACAAUGGGGGGUACAGAGGGCCGCUACCACGCGAGUGGAUGCCAAUCCCAAAAACCUCUCUCAGUUCGGACUGGAGUCUGCAACCCGACUCCACGAAGCUGGAUUCGCUAGUAAUCGCGCAUCAGCCACGGCGCGGUGAAUACGUUCCCGGGCCUUGUACACACCGCCCGUCAAGCCAUGGGAGCCGGGGGUACCUGAAGUGCGUAACCGCGAGGAGCGCCCUAGGGUAAAACUGGUGACUGGGGCU
rnacentral:rRNA from 1 species